GUUCUUUUUUUAUUAGAUAUAUAUAUAUAUAUAUAUACUCAUUAAUAUAUACACCGGGUAGAGUGAUUUUUGGGACCACUGUUUUUUACUUUUACACUGUUUUAUACUUGUACAUUUUUGCGCUGGACACUACUUUUUAUUGCUUGGUUCUAUUAUACAUUUGGUGGAAUAUUUAGUGAUUGGUUCCACAGUGUUCACAGCUGCAUGUGUUUUUAGCGCCUAUUUUAUUGCACAAUUUUUGCAUAUUGCUUGUUUUACUAUCAGCACAAAACCAGUGUGGCUUCAUGGAAUGUGAUUCCAUGGCCAAGCGGCUGCAUACAAGCCUCACAUGACCAAGUACAAUGCCAAGCUUUGGAUCAAAUGGUGUAAAGCACGCUGCCAUUGAGCUCUGGAGCAGUGGAAACGUGGGCUCUGGAGAGACGAAUCGCACUUCUCUGUUUGUAAGUCUGAUGGGUGAGUCUUAAUUUGGAGGAAUCUGGGAGAACGUGACGUGUCUGACUUCAUUGUACCAACUGUAAGGUUUGCUGGAGGUAGGAUAAGUGUAUGAGGAUGUUUUUCAAGGGUUGGGUAGUCUCCUUACAUCCAGUGAAGGGAAAUCUUAAUGCGUCAGUAUACCAAGACAGUUUCGACAAUGCUAUUCAUCCAACUUUGUGGGAACAGUUUGGGGAAAGCCUUUUUCUAUUCCAGUAUGAUUGUACCUCAGUGCACACUUGGUGUUGAAGAAUUUGAAUGGCCCGCACAGAGGCCUGACCUCUACCCUAUCGAACAUCUUUGGGAUGAACUGGAAUGAAGAUUGUGAGCUACGCCUACUUGUCCAACAUCACAAAACAACACAAAUACUCUACUAGAUGAAACUCCCACAAAAAUACUCUAAUGGAAAAAUCUUAUGGAAGGUCUUCCCAGAAGAGUGGAAGCUGUUAUAGCUGCAAAGAAGGGAUCAAUU